rnacentral:lncRNA from 1 species
ACUGCCUUCUUUUCACAAAUAUGUAACUAAACAGAAUCCAACAUGUUAAUAAAAUCAGUUCUUAAAAAUUCGAACACAUCAGACUUCUAAUAUUAGAAAAUCGCAUAACUGCGACAGUUGACCAAAAACCAGGAUCCCGAUCAAGUCCUCGGCCGCAGCCAACUCCGUCAACAAGCGCAAAAAACUAGCUAACAAAAUCUUUUGUUACAUCGAAACUAUCGAUAAAAGUAUCUACAACAAAUCGACACAUGGCCCCAAAAGAUCGGCCUCGCAUAAACAUAAAAAGGGCAACAAAUAAAUCGGAUCCACGAU